CCUACGUGGGGCAGCAGUGGGGAAUAUUGCGCAAUGGGCGAAAGCCUGACGCAGCGACGCCGCGUGAGGGAUGAAGGUCUUCGGAUCGUAAACCUCUGUCAGCAGGGAAGAACGGUCACUGUGCUAAUCAGCAGUGAAUUGACGGUACCUGCAAAGGAAGCACCGGCUAACUCCGUGCCAGCAGCCGCGGUAAUACGGAGGGUGCGAGCGUUAAUCGGAAUUACUGGGCGUAAAGCGCUCGUAGGCGGUAUGUCAAGUCAAGGGUGAAAUCCCCGCGCUCAACGUGGGAACUGACUUUGAAACUGGCAAACUGGAGUGUGUGAGAGGAUAGUGGAAGUCCAGGUGUAGGAGUGAAAUCCGUAGAUAUCUGGAGGAACAUCAGUGGCGAAGGCGACUAUCUGGCACAUAACUGACGCUGAGGAGCGAAAGCGUGGGUAGCAAACAGGAUUAGAUACCCGGGUAGUC
rnacentral:rRNA from 1 species